CUACGGGUGGCUGCAGUGGGGAAUAUUGGACAAUGGGCGAAAGCCUGAUCCAGCCAUGCCGCGUGUGUGAAGAAGGCCUUCGGGUUGUAAAGCACUUUCAGUGGGGAAGAAAGCCUUGGGGCUAAUACCCUCGAGGAAGGACAUCACCCACAGAAGAAGCACCGGCUAACUCCGUGCCAGCAGCCGCGGUAAUACGGAGGGGUGCGAGCGUUAAUCGGAAUUACUGGGCGUAAAGCGCGCGUAGGCGGUCUGAUAAGCCGGUUGUGAAAGCCCCGGGCUCAACCUGGGAACGGCAUCCGGAACUGUCAGGCUAGAGUGCAGGAGAGGAAGGUAGAAUUCCCGGUGUAGCGGUGAAAUGCGUAGAGAUCGGGAGGAAUACCAGUGGCGAAGGCGGCCUUCUGGACUGACACUGACGCUGAGGUGCGAAAGCGUGGGUAGCAAACAGGAUUAGAUACCCUGGUAGUC
rnacentral:rRNA from 1 species